rnacentral:rRNA from 1 species
AUUGAACGCUGGCGGCAGGCCUAACACAUGCAAGUCGAACGAGUGGCGGACGGGUGAGUAAUGUCUGUGAAACUGCCCGAUGGAGGGGGAUAACUACUGGAAACGGUAGCUAAUACCGCAUACAAUCGGAUGUGCCCAGAUGGGAUUAGCUAGUAGGUGGGGUAACGGCUCACCUAGGCGACGAUCCCUAGCUGGUCUGAGGGGAGGACCAGACACACUGGAACGGCGACCCGGCCCAGACUCCUACGGGAGGCAGCAGUGGGGAAUAUUGCACAAUGGGCGCAAGCCUGAUGCAGCCAUGCCGCGUGGAUGAAGAAGGCUUUCGGGUUGUAAAGUACUUUCAGCGAGGAGGCGUUACUCGCAGAAGAAGCACCGGCUAACUCCGUGCCAGCAGCCGCGGUAAUUC